AGGCGUUUGCCUCGCUUGAAGAUGAGCCUGCGUCCCAUUAGCUAGUUGGUGAGGUAAAUGCUUACCAAGGCGAUGAUGGGUAUCCGGCCUGAGAGGGUGAACGGACACAUUGGGACUGAGAUACGGCCCAAACUCCUACGGGAGGCAGCAGCUGAGAAUCUUCCGCAAUGGACGAAAGUCUGACGGAGCAAUACCGCGUGAAUGAUGAAGGCUGAAAGGUUGUAAAAUUCUUUUGCAGACAAAGAAUAAGCACAGUAGUAAAUGACUGUGUGAUGACGGUAGUUAUGCGAAUAAGCCCCGCUAAUUACC
rnacentral:rRNA from 1 species